UGGGGAAUAUUGCACAAUGGGCGCAAGCCUGAUGCAGCGACGCCGCGUGGGGGAUGACGGCCUUCGGGUUGUAAACUCCUUUCGCUAGGGACGAAGCUUUUUGUGACGGUACCUAGAUAAGAAGCACCGGCUAACUACGUGCCAGCAGCCUCGGUAAUACGUAGGGUGCGAGCGUUGUCCGGAAUUACUGGGCGUAAAGGGCUCGUAGGUGGUUUGUCGCGUCGUCUGUGAAAUUCCGGGGCUUAACUCCGGGCGUGCAGGCGAUACGGGCAUAACUUGAGUACUGUAGGGGUAACUGGAAUUCCUGGUGUAGCGGUGAAAUGCGCAGAUAUCAGGAGGAACACCGAUGGCGAAGGCAGGUUACUGGGCAGUUACUGACGCUGAGGAGCGAAAGCAUGGGUAGCGAACAGG
rnacentral:rRNA from 1 species